CCUACGAGUGGCAGCAGUGAGGAAUAUUGGUCAAUGGGCGCGAGCCUGAACCAGCCAAGUAGCGUGAAGGAUGACUGCCCUACGGGUUGUAACCUUCUUUUAUAAAGGAAUAAAGUGAGGCACGUGUGCCUUUUUGUCUGUACUUUAUGAAUAAGGAUCGGCUAACUCCGUUCCAGCAGCCGCGGUAAUACGGAGGAGCCGAGCGUUAUACGGAUUUAUGGGAUUUAAGGGGAGCGUAGAUGGGUUGUUAAGUCAGAUGUGAAAGUUUGCGGCUCAACCGUAAAAUUGCAAUUGAGACUGGCAGUCUUGAGUACAGUUGAGGUAGGCGGAAUUCGUGGUGUAGCGGUGAAAUGCUUAGAUAUCACGAAGAACACCGAUUGCGAAGGCAGCUUACUAAACUGCCACUGACAUUGAUGCUCGAAAGUGUGGGUAUCAAACAGGAUUAGAUACCCCUGUAGUC
rnacentral:rRNA from 1 species